GGUUGGGACUUGGCUGGUGGUCUAAUGGCUAAGACUGCAUGCUCCCAGUGCAAGGGCCAGGGUUUGAUUCCAGGUCAGGGACCUAGAGCCUACGUGCCACAACUAUGAAUGAAAGAAAGAGAUCGAGAGUGCCGAAACUAAGACCUGAUGCAGCCGAAUAAAUAAAAAGUAUUAAAAAGUGUUAGAUGAGGUCGUAGGGUGCGACUGGUGCCCUUUUAGAGACAGAGACCUGCCCGCACCGUGACCUUGAACGUCCCGCCUCCGGACCGUGAGACCCAUGUGUCUGGUUACGAAGCCCAGUUUAUCAUGAACAGGAGCAGAUUAGUGGGCCGUCAAACCGCAAGUGGCUGGCGAUCUUCUGGGACUUUUAGGCUGGGAGCUGCGGGUUGGGAAUGAAGGGGCUGCUGGGCGGCCAAGUGCCACCUCUGGGCCCAGCUGGCACCAUCCAGAGGCGCUGGGGGACAGGCUGCUGGACUGAACUCGCUUUCCUUCCCUGCCAAGUUCCUGUUUGAAGCUUAACCUCCAACGUGGCUGUGUUUGGAGAGAAGAUCGCUUUUUGUCGGAGUUGUUUUCAUCUUCUGGAUUCUAACAAUUCACUAGUCACAUGCACAGCAACACUUUUAUCCAAGUCUCUUUGCUUUUCUCUCUGUUUGCGGGAAACUUUUGGCACUCAGAAUUUCACGUUCAAGCUGGACAGCUUAUCGAUACGUUCCUUACUGUCUGUCUGUUCUGUGCCUUAUUUGAGAAGUCUUGCGCUUCACCAGUAUCAUGAGCAUAGUCUGUGUCCUCUUGGUGCCUGUGGUGGAAGGCAGGCGCUGAACCGAACCCUCCUCCCGUGGAAAGGUGGUGUCCUGGUGCCGUUUGUGAAACAAGCCAACUUUCUGCCUGUGCUGCCGGUGUGGUGGCCCGGAGCCACACGUACCGUUUACAUGUGAACAAACUGACGUGAAAUAAAAUUCAAAAUUCGGUUUCUCAGACCCUGUUGGUGGUAUUUCAAAUGCUCAGUAGUCACCCGAGCUGAUAAUUAUAAAAAUGAAUAAAGGUAGGAGAGGUGUAGAAACACGAUUCCAUAAUUGCAAGAAUGCACGUGGACAAUAGCACUAAUUAGAGGUCAUCCUCCUGGAGGAUGGAAGAUUUACAAAAACUGGCCACAUUUCAGAAAUACCAACCUGUGGGUCCUGCAGGACGCAUUCUCUGCUGAAAGAGUAGUCAACUUAGAAAUCAGUAGCAAACGGUAUUAGCAAAUCCCAGAGUUUCAGAAUGAAAAAAAAAUACUUCUAAAUAAUCCAGCUUCAAAGAGGUAUUCAUAGGGAAAUGAGAAAAUAGGUCUGAACAGUAACUGCUUAUCAAAACUUGUGGGUGAAGUGGGGAAGAGCCUGUCUGUAUUAUGCAUUUUUGUGUAAAUCCAGUAUUUUGGGGUCUCAGUUUCCUGACCAAGGAUAGAACCCACACCCCCUGCAGUGGAAGCGCAGAGUCUUAACCACUGGACUGCCAGGGAAGUCCCCGUAUCUGAGACACUUUGGUCUGGGACUUCCAGCCUCUGGGACUAUGAGAAAAUAAAUUUCUUAAAAAUAAUUUUUUAAGCCACCUAGUUUGUGAUAUUUCUUUACGGCAGCCCUAGCAAACUAAGACAUAUGCUUUUCUCUCUUUGCUUUUAAUAUAUUUUUUUUAUUGUGAAGUUCUGCAGUUACACUGUGGUAUAAUUAGGUAUGUAAUUGAUUUUUAAAUUCUGCCUG
ensembl:lncRNA